AUACCCUUUGAAUACCCCUAUCUUAACAGCUUCUCCCCAAAUCAAAAAAGGAAGUUGAAACAGGGAACCCUAGCUUCUCCACCACCGCCGCAAGGACUGCCGCCGUCCGUCACUCUCAGGCACUACCAUCAUCGUCUGGUCGUCCGUGCUUCUUCCUCCUUCAAGAAUCACAGCUUCUUCUUCAUAGAGCUCGGCGCGUCAGUUUCUGGUAUUCAUCUGCUCCAUCGCGCUCCUGCCGCCGUCUGUCGGGCGCUCAGUCACCAUCGUCUUCGUCUGGUCGUCGCAGAUUCUUCCAACCCACCACCGUCUUCUGAGUUGUGUUCGUCGCCUGGCCUCUGUCUCCGUCACGAUUCUGCCCCUCUCUUCUCAGACUGCUCAGAAGAAAAACCCAUCUCCAUUCCAGUUUUCUUUUUUCGAGUUCAGAGAGCAGAAGUUCAACCAAGAAAAAAACCUUAGACUUCGACGAUGAGGCACAUGAUUUAGCUGAUUUAUUCAUCAGCAUGUAUGACUCAAAAAUUACUUUAUCACAGCUGGAGAAUGUGCAUUGCCAUGUAGAAUGGUACUUUGUGAGAUUCCACAAUCUUUUGGGACCAGCCAACCGGAGGGCAUUAUGGUAAAAGGGGAGGAAACGUGAACCGGAGGGCAUUAUGGUAAAAGAGGAGGAAAGGUGAGGGGAGAGGAUUAUGUGUGAUGAUAAACUAUUGAUAUGUUUCUUUUCAUGGACUUUUGCUUUGAUGUAUUACUUUAGUGUUUGUGAAAUUCCGGGCAUGGAUUGGAUCUAUGUGUAGUUCGAACUAGCCCUGCUUGAGCAUUUCCUUUGUAUGCUAAAUGACUGGUUUUGUUUAUCAGUUUAUAAGAGUUUAUCAAUAAAAAAUAUUAUCAGUUGGCAUCACUUUUGGCAGUCUAGCAAUACUCCGCUAUAAGGAUCAAUUUAAAGAAGCUGUCUUCUUGGCUUUUGACUCACCAUCCUGGAAGGUUAAUGGGGCUGCUGAUAAUCUUCUAUGAUCCCUUCUUGGAAGUCGGGUUCAUUAUUAUCCAAUAGAUCAGUACAAGAUCUGAAGUCAUUCUCUUCAUUUAUAAUGGCUAUUCUCUCAAGGAUAUCAGACAAAGACAACCAUACUUGUUUGUGGACUGGGAUUUUCAGAUUUGGUUUCUCAUAUUGGCUCUAUGAGUUUUGAUUCCACUGGCUUGCAUUGGCGGUAUAAUUUAAUGGCUAACAGAGUUUUGCUCUUGCUAGCUUUGGCUUCUCGGAACCACCCAAAUUCAUCAACUAGAAUCCUGAGUGAAACAGCUGGCCACUUUUUGAAGAAUUUGAAAAGUCAACUUCCUCAGACAAGGAUACUUGCAAUUUCGGCUUUGAAUACACCUUAAAGAAAUCACCGUACAA